AGUGCCCGGCAGGUUGGCGGACCGGCGGGAGGCGCAGCCUGGGCAGAGCUCAGCUUGGUCCCGCCGCCCGGCCGGUGCUCCCGGGCACAGCCACGCAGGCGCACCGCAGACAGACCCCUCUGCCAUGAACCAGUCCAUCCCAGUGGCUCCCACCCCACCCCGCCGUGUGCGGCUGAAGCCCUGGCUGGUGGCCCAGGUGAACAGCUGCCAGUACCCAGGGCUUCAAUGGGUCAACGGGGAAAAGAAAUUAUUCUGCAUCCCCUGGAGGCAUGCCACGAGGCAUGGUCCCAGCCAGGAUGGAGAUAACACCAUCUUCAAGGCCUGGGCCAAGGAGACAGGGAAAUACACCGAAGGCGUAGAUGAAGCCGAUCCGGCCAAGUGGAAGGCCAACCUGCGCUGCGCCCUUAACAAGAGCCGGGACUUCCGCCUCAUCUACGACGGGCCCCGGGACAUGCCACCUCAGCCCUACAAGAUCUACGAGACUCCCAGCCCCCUGAGGAUUACUCUUUUGGUGCAGGAGAGGAGGAGGAAGAAGAGGAAGAGGUGAGUGUGGGGUGAGGAGGCAGGUGGAGCCCUGGACGAGCUCUCUGCUGUCCCCAUCGGCCUUAGGUUUCCACAGCCCCACUCCCAUGAAGCCCCGUGGCCCUCUCAAUGGUUCUCCUUGUUUCUUCUGGGAUUCUGAAUGAUAGGAGCACAGUCCCCACCUGCUCCUUCCCAGGGCGUUGUCAUUACCCUGUUGUGUGACCCACGCAGCAGUUGGGGCUUGGUAGGUCUGACUCCCCGCAGAAGGCAAAUGAGGAAAGUGAGGCAAAGGGCUUUUCUGACCUGCCUGGGAUGGACGAGCUGGGACCGGAGGCAGGGUCUUGCCUGAGCUAAACUGAGGCUAGGGGAGUUGCCUCAUGGUUCUCCCCUGUUAUUU
rnacentral:sRNA from 1 species